GAUCGAGUACGCAAACUGGCAAAGCGAUCAGGUCGAGAGCCUGGUGAUUUUGUGGGUUCGACUCCCACCUCGAUCA
rnacentral:tRNA from 2 species